rnacentral:rRNA from 1 species
UACGUAGAAUGCAAGCGUUAAUCGGAAUUACUGGGCGUAAGGCGUGCGCAGGCGGUUUUGUAAGACAGGCGUGAAAUCCCCGGGCUUAACCUGGGAAUGACGCUUGUGACUGCAAGACUGGAGUGCGGCAGAGGGGGAUGGAAUUCCGCGUGUAGCAGUGAAAUGCGUAGAUAUGCGGAGGAACACCGAUGGCGAAGGCAAUCCCCUGGGCCUGCACUGACGCUCAUGCACGAAAGCGUGGGGAGCAAAC